rnacentral:rRNA from 1 species
CGAAGGUCGUCGCGCUGUACGUCGAAGGCGCGUCGGUCGGCGAAGUGAAGGCGGGCGAGAGCGCGGUGGUGGUGCUCGACCACACGCCGUUCUACGCGGAAUCGGGUGGCCAGGUCGGCGACCAGGGCGUGCUCGCGAACGCGGCCACGCGUUUCGCGGUCGGCGAUACGCUGAAGGUCCAGGCCGACGUGAUCGGCCACCACGGCGAGCUCGAGCAGGGCACGCUGAAGGUGGGCGACGUGGUCCGCGCGGAGAUCGACGCCGCGCGCCGCGCGCGCACCGCGCGCAACCACUCGGCGACGCACCUGAUGCACAAGGCGCUGCGCGACGUGCUCGGCUCGCACGUGCAGCAGAAGGGCUCGCUCGUCGACGCGGACAAGACCCGCUUCGACUUCGCGCACAACGCGCCGCUGACCGACGACGAAAUCCGCCGCGUCGAGGCCAUCGUCAACGAGCAGGUGCUCGCGAACGCGCCGGGCAUCGUGCGCGUGAUGCCGUACGACGACGCGGUGAAGGGCGGCGCGAUGGCGCUCUUCGGCGAGAAGUACGGCGACGAGGUGCGCGUGCUCGAUCUCGGCUUCUCGCGCGAGCUGUGCGGCGGCACGCACGUGCACCGCACGGGCGACAUCGGCCUGUUCAAGAUCGUCGCGGAAGGCGGCGUCGCGGCGGGCAUUCGCCGCGUCGAGGCGAUCACGGGCGAUAACGCGGUGCGCUAUGUGCAGGCGCUCGACGCGCGCGUGAACGCGGCGGCCGCCGCGCUGAAGGCGCAGCCGUCCGAGCUGCUGCAGCGCAUCGGCCAGGUGCAGGAUCAGGUCAAGUCGCUCGAGAAGGAGCUGGGCGCGCUGAAGUCGAAGCUCGCGUCGAGCCAGGGCGACGAGCUCGCGCAGCAGGCGGUCGAAGUGGGCGGCGUGCACGUGCUUGCCGCGACGCUCGACGGCGCCGAUGCGAAGACGCUGCGCGAAACCGUCGACAAGCUGAAGGACAAGCUCAAGAGCGCGGCGAUCGUGCUCGCGGCGGUCGACGGCGGCAAGGUGAGCCUGAUCGCCGGCGUCACGGCGGAUGCAAGCAAGAAGGUGAAGGCGGGCGAGCUCGUGAACUUCGUCGCGCAGCAGGUGGGCGGCAAGGGCGGCGGCCGGCCGGACAUGGCGCAGGCGGGCGGCACGGAGCCGGCGAAGCUGCCGGCGGCGCUCGCGGGCGUCAAGGGCUGGGUCGAGGCGCGGCUGUAACGCGGCCGGGCCGCGGCGCGCCCGGAAUCGGCGCGCCGCGUUUGCGCUGUUUUGCAUCCGCAGCCGGGUGGCUGC